AUUUCUUUUUAAAUAGAGUUACGCAUUUUCUCAGCGCGCGUGUAUAAACAAUAAUAAGAUUGAAAGACCGCUAAUGUUAAACAUAA